AUGGGAACGCGAAGAACCUUACCUACUCUUGACAUCCAGAGAACUUUCCAGAGAUGCUUUGGUGCCUUCGGGAACUCUGAGACAGGUGCUGCAUGGCUGUCGGUCAGUCUCGUGUUGUGAAAUGUUGGGUUAAGUCCCGCAACGAGCGCAACCCUUAUCCUUUGUUGCCAGCGGUCCGGCCGGGAACUCAAAGGAGACUGCCAGUGAUAAACUGGAGGAAGGUGGGGAUGACGUCAAGUCAUCAUGGCCCUUACGAGUAGGGCUACACACGUGCUACAAUGGCGCAUACAAAGAGAAGCGACCUCGCGAGAGCAAGCGGACCUCAUAAAGUGCGUCGUAGUCCGGAUUGGAGUCUGCAACUCGACUCCAUGAAGUCGGAAUCGCUAGUAAUCGUAGAUCAGAAUGCUACGGU
rnacentral:rRNA from 1 species